GACGAACGCUGGCGGCGUGCCUAAUACAUGCAAGUCGAACGCACAGUUUAUACCGUAGCUUGCUACACCAUAAACUGUGAGUUGCGAACGGGUGAGUAACGCGUAGGUAACCUGCCUGGUAGCGGGGGAUAACUAUUGGAAACGAUAGCUAAUACCGCAUAAUAUUAAUUAUUGCAUGAUAAUUGAUUGAAAGCUGCAAUUGCAUCACUACCAGAUGGACCUGCGUUGUAUUAGCUAGUAGGUGAGGUAACGGCUCACCUAGGCGACGAUACAUAGCCGACCUGAGAGGGUGGUCGGCCACACUGGGACUGAGACACGGCCCAGACUCCUACGGGAGGCAGCAGUAGGGAAUCUUCGGCAAUGGACGAAAGUCUGACCGAGCAACGCCGCGUGAGGGAAGAAGGUUGUCGGAUCGUAAAGCUCUGUUGUAAGAGAAGAACGGGUGUGAGAGUGGAAAGUUCACACUGUGACGGUAUCUUACCAGAAAGGGACGGCUAACUACGUG
rnacentral:rRNA from 1 species